AAGGCUGAAUGAGUCCAGAAGACUCUCGGCGGACAGCAUAGGAAUAAGAGAGCUGGACAUCUAUGGGAUCAGCCUAACGGUGCGUGAAAGCAGAGGGUCUCAGCGGCUCUGUAUCCCGGCCAAAGGAGCGAUGUUGAUCAGAAAGGCACUGGAAACGGGUGAGAAAGUUGCCAGACCGUCUGCCAAGAGCCCCAGCCUGGGAUCAGGGCCUUCACGUUGCUGGGUGGAACAGCAGGCUAUUUGUUGGCAAAACAAGCCCUUUUCACAGCCUGUCGUAGAUACGUGGCAGUACAUGGGACGCCGGCAGCUGCUAAAUAAGGUCAUGGCAGGGACGUUCUCUUUUUUUUUCAAACACAGAGCCAGACAGGACAGUGUACGGGAGUUAGUUUCUAAUGCUGAAACUCCUGAGCUGUGCAAACAGCAAGCGGACGGCUUGACAGAAUGUCAGGAACGGGAGCCGAGGGAAAGGAUGUCAUGCCUGGGCUGUCGGGGAGAUUAAGCAGCCGACGAGGCGAGUUUUGGGUAUUUACUGUGACAGAAGGGAAUCUGGGAAAAGAACAGCCUGGAGGAAGCUCUUCCGAGACCCUCUUUGCACCCGCAGAUCCACGAGACGCAGCACUGAGCUUGAAACGUGACCCAGGCGUUAGCCCACACUGCUGGCCCGGGAACAGCACAGUGCCACAACAGGCUUUGUUGAGCAUCCCACAGCAGAAGAUAAGGAAAAUCAAAGUGCGAGGAGGAAGAUGACUGAUCACAAGACAUAUAUUUUCAACAGCGGGCAGCUAAUAAGUUUUGCUUGUGGACAGAUGUAAGUAUCCAGGUGUCCUGUUCUAGCACAGACGUCCCAUUUGACUCCCCAAUAGAGCACUUAGACUCGAAAAGCCUUGAUUCAUCUUGAUAACUCCUGACAUGCUCGGCGUCUGCAGACCUUUCUGCUUUUACAACAAAAUGCAGAUCCUCCACUUGCAAUGUCACCAGUGAUAGAUGAACAGGUACACAAGCCUAUAUCAGUUUGUGGCUGCUGUGUGUCACAUGACAAGCUUGAGAGCCCCCCUUCACUCGUGCCCCCUCAAAAAUGUUGCCUCUGACACUACAAUACAAAAGUAUUUGUCAAAUAAAUGAAACAUGAUGAAACAUUCAUUUUAGUUGAAACUGUUAUUGAUUACUUCUAGAAUUGCAGCAAUACAUGACAUGGUAAAAAAUGACUGAAUGAAUAAUAGGCUACUUAAAGUAGGUUAAGAUGAAUUUUAAAAUUGUGACCCCUAAAAGCACAAUUGGCCACUGUCUGGCCUAGACAGUAAAGGGCCUUUUUUUUAGACUCCCAAAGGCUAAAAAUCUAGUUUUGGUAGAAUGUUUCCCCUACUUUUUGGUAAAUAAUCAUGAUAUUUCGUUUGGUAGCAGUGCAAUGGAAGGAAAUUGUAAAAACACAGUUUCAGAAUCCAAAUGAUAAAUGCAGUGUGAAUUACGAAACUGAAAACUUUGUUCUAAAUGACUGUAGUAAAGGAGGCUAUUUUCCAGACUCCCAGAACAUACAAAGCCAGUUUCUGGUGGAAUGUUUCACCUAUAUUUUGGUAAAUAAUCAUAACAUUUUGAUUGGUGGUGGUGCAAUGGAAAGAAAUUGUGGCCAGGCAUGUAAAAAUACAGCUUUAGAAACCAAGAAGCAGCUGUUUUAUUGAAUGUCAUGCCCCUUAUUAAUAUUCAUGUCUAAGAUGUUCCCACCCACUUUUCAGAUCAUCCUUAUGCCCUUGGUAGCAAGACAUGCAAAUGUAUUAUUAUUCACAUGUAUGCAAUUUGUGAGUAAGCCAUCUUAAAGUAAUAGUUAAUCAUAAAAAAUGAAAUUCAUGUCAUCAUUCACUCAUGUCGUUCCAAACCAAAGGCUUGAGUUUAUUCUGUGGAACAUAAAAGAAGGUAUUUUGAAGGGUAUUUUAGCCCAUAUAAUGAAAGUCAAAGGGGACCAAAACAACAUCAAACC